GCUUACGACCAUACCACUCUGAAAGCCUGAUCUCAUCUGACCUCGGAAGCAAGCAGAGUUGGCCUGGUUAGUACUUGGUUGGGAGACUGAAUGGGAAUACUAGGUGCUGUAAGCG
ensembl:rRNA 5S_rRNA 5S ribosomal RNA